GGGACCCUUCAGUCGUUCCUUCUUUUUCAUUGAACAAAACCCCCUACAUAUUACAAAAACCUUAGAAUCCCCUUGACCUAGAGCAGUUGCCGCCCGUCCCUCAUCUCCUCACCGGCCACACAACCAAAUAAGAACCCUUCAGCACCUCAGAAAAAUAGAGAACUGAAGACCCCCGAUCUCCAAAACCCAGAACCACCCCAUCCACCCAACCUCUGUCAACUAAGAACAGUAGCCGCCAGAUACCCCUCACUCACCCUUCGGCCUCGCUAAAAAACCCGCACCACAACCACCCAUCGCUACUUCUUCUUCUUUCCCAUUCUCAGCAACCUAACAACCACCCUUACACCACAAAAAUCAGCAACCACACACCGACCAGCCUACCUACCAGCAAAUAUCAGAGGAAAAGGAUAUAUGGGUUUUGUUUCUUUUGAUUUCAACUUCUCGAUUUUUCGAAUUUUUCGUAUUCUUCGCCAAAUAUUAGGCUAGCUUCUUCGGUUUUUAGGCAAAAGAAGUCGAAUCAGUUGAAGUAUUUUGCCAGAGGUUCUAGCCGCCGGUUCUAUUUGUCUGCCACGAGAUUCAAUACAUUUGGUUGAUUAUCUAAAGAAAUUUUCAAAAGUUUCCAAAGCUUUGUUCUCAUCUUACUUUUGUUGAUUGAUAUUUCAAUAGUUUAGUGUUGAAAUUACUGGUUAUGAAUUCUCUGUUGAGUUUCAUGCUAGACGUGAAAAUGCUUCUACUUGUUUGGUUUGAGUUUUAAUAUAAGAUGAA
rnacentral:lncRNA from 1 species